rnacentral:rRNA from 1 species
AUUGAACGCUGGCGGCAUGCCUUACACAUGCAAGUCGAACGGCAGCACGGGUGCUUGCACCUGGUGGCGAGUGGCGAACGGGUGAGUAAUACAUCGGAACAUGUCCUGUAGUGGGGGGUAGCCCGGCGAAAGCCGGAUUAAUACCGCAUACGAUCUACGGAUGACAGCGGGGGACCUUCGGGCCUCGCGCUAUAGGGUUGGCCGAUGGCUGAUUAGCUAGUUGGUGGGGUAAAGGCCUACCAAGGCGACGAUCAGUAGCUGGUCUGAGAGGACGACCAGCGACACUGGGACUGAGACAGGGCCCAGACGCCUACGGGAGGCAGCAGUGGGGAAUUUUGGACAAUGGGCGAAAGCCUGAUCCAGCAAUGCCGCGUGUGUGAAGAAGGCCUUCGGGUUGUAAAGCACUUUUGUCCGGAAAGAAAUCCUUGGCCCUAAUACGGUCGGGGGAUGACGGUACCGGAAGAAUAAGCACCGGCUAACUACGUG